rnacentral:rRNA from 1 species
CCCUAUGGGGUGCAGCAGGGUGCGCCAGCAGUCAGUACGAGUCAGAAGGAUGUGUAUGGGCUUGUGCGGGUGGUGUACCGGCAAGGGCAGCGAAUAACGCAGAUAGUGAAGCCGAUAGAGCAGCAGCUAUCGAGCAAGGCGGAUUUGCAGCAUGCGUACAUCGUACGGGGGAAAGAGCAGAUAGCGGUAAAUCUUGAAGCGUUGCUGUAUGGGUCAGCGCAGGAGCAAGAUGUGGAGCUGGAAGCGCAGGACCGGAUAGUCAUUCCGUAUGGGUAUGCGACAGUAAUGGUACGGGGAGAAGUACAGAAAUCGAGUGUGCUUGAAGUGUAUGCGGGGAUGCGGCUUUCUGACGCGGUCAAAGAGAAUCUGACGGGC